GUCCCCAUCGUCUAGUCUGGUCCAGGACACCAGCCUUUCACGCUGGCGACAGGGGUUCGAAUCCCCUUGGGGACGCCA
rnacentral:tRNA from 1 species